UGAACUUUUGUAAUUUUCAAAGCAUACUGAAGUGCAUUGGAGAAUCUGGUAAAUGGAACAAUGCAGAAUCCCAAAACGAACCUUCCUGGGGCCUAUUCUUAACACAUGGUUGGUGAGAUUGAUUUUGGACCAAUGGGGUCAAGUGUGUUUUGACCGGGACUUACUAUCUUGGUUCCUGUGGAAUGCAGGGGAGUGGUUAGUUUCCUGUGUCGAGCGGAGAACAGCGAUGAGCAAUGUGCUGUGUGUGUGUGCAUGGUGCUUUCGGCAAGCACUCAUGGAGGAGAAAGGACUGAUUUGCUCUAUCUGUAAAUAGAUCAUGUAAAUAAAGU
rnacentral:lncRNA from 11 species